GAAAAACCUGCCCGUUCCCGGAAAAUUAAGAGGCCAUUCCAAUACCUCAAAUGCCAGUCUCCACCGCCACCAAAUCGCCGUCACUUUCGCCUCCUACGCCACGAUAAACGCUCCUCAGACCUCACAACUCAAAAGAAACCCAAGAAAACCAUCAUCAAAGCUAGCAAAUUGGGUGCCGGCUUACAAGAGGGUGACUAGGGACUUAUUAAAGUUGGUCCUUAGCGAUGUUCUCGUAAAAUGGACUAACUCUGAUAUUUGAUAUGAACUGUUGGGCAUACCAGCACAAUUCGUUGAGUAGAACUCAUCCUUGAGAAUCGGCUCGCAAGUUAUUAAUCUCUCACCACCUUACUGUUACUUACUGGGCUUCACUUGACCUCAUCCAAUCAGAGCUCUCUCUCACCCUCACAUUUCCCAUUGGCCAAACCUUCCGCUGGAAACAAACUGGUCCUUUCCGGUACACCGGCACUCUCGGUCCUCACUUGAGUUUCUCGAGUUCCCUUCUUCGGAACGAUUAGCUAUGGUUACGGAGCAGCAGCUUACAGAUGCUGGUUUUGAUUAUAGGGCAAAAUAUAUAACUGGCACUGUAAAUGCUUUGCAAUUAAAACCUGGUGAAGGUGCAGAAUGGGUUACAGAUCUCUGUAAAUUGGAUCUCCAAGCGGUGAUUGAUGCUCUUUCUGCUUUACCUGGGGUUGGGCCCAAUGUAGCAGCUGCAUGGCUCUUUUCUCUCUUGAUCAACACCGUGCCAUUCCAGUAGAUACACAUGCGUAGCAGGUGUUUCUGUGAGUUUUAACUUGCUAGCUGAAAGUACCUGUUUUUGUAUCUAUUAUUGCCAAUUCGGGAUUUGAUGGGAUCGAAAAUUCAAUGAUACACCUUUGUUGAAUUGGUUGAUCAGAAUCCUCGACCAAAUAUAAAGUUGGGCCUGGAGAGUACAUAUCAUCUAAUAAUAUUUGUGUUGGUCUAGACUUCAGAGCUUUGAGAAGCGAAUCAGCAAUGCUUUGCCAUUGUAAAGAAGUCCCUUUCUCAACUGCUUAGCAGAAUGAAUACUAUCUUUGACCAAUUUUAAUAUGAACAAGCUAUUAAAAUUAGUCUUGUGCAAAAGGGGGAAGAAAAGAAAGAAAGCAAAAUCAUGUAUUAACUUUUCUGACUUAGUCCCAUCCACAUUUGAAUUAGCAGUGCUGAUCAAAUUGUGGUGCCUCUUCAGGUUUAUCACAAUAAGGUUGUUUUUAUAGAUUGAUUAUGCUUCGGUUACCUGGGAUUAUGGUAGUGAGACAUAAUUAUGUUUUAAGAUGUCGAGUUUCAACCCAAUUGCGUAAUCUUUCGGUUACCUGUUGACUUUGGAAUUCAUAAAGCAUAAUACUUAUGAAAGUUCGGAAGAAGAUGCAAGUACAUGGAAAUACUAUUUUAUAUUUUUGUUAAUGAAUGAGGUCUGAUAUCAAAAUGUUCUUCUUUGGAUUGUGUAAAUUGCUACAAAAUACAUCCUACCUAAACUUGCAGUUGCCCGCUUCACACCUAAGCUAUGCAGCCAAGUAGCAGAUGCAUUUGCAGGCAAAUAUGGGAAAUAUGCUGGAUGGGCACAAACUCUACUUUUCAUUGCUGAGCUGCCCUCACAAAAAAAUCUUUUACCUUCUCAAUUUGGGACUUUCAAAGAGAAUAAAUAUGCUAUCAAGAAAGGCAGCAAAGCAUAUAUUGGUAAUUGAGGCUAUAAAUAGAUAGUACAUCUUUUUAAGUCUUGGAAUCCAUAUGCUUGAGUUUUAGGCUUCUGAUUUUGUUGAUACUAACUUACUGAGUACUCUACAUGAUUCUUUUCUUUUAAGAGCAGACCCAUAGCUCUCAAUAUCUCCUGUAAUCAAAGAGUGGAAAAUAAUCUCUGAUGGUACUUGCGUUGGAGGGCGAUGUCUAAACUUUGCAAACUUACAGGUUGGUUCUAUAAACCAUUACAUGUGAAUAUAGAUUUCUCUUUUUUUAAAUUUGUGUGUGUGU
rnacentral:misc_RNA from 1 species